rnacentral:rRNA from 2 species
AAACUUUCAACAACGGAUCUCUUGGUUCUCGCAUCGAUGAAGAACGCAGCGAAAUGCGAUAAGUAGUGUGAAUUGCAGAAUUCAGUGAAUCAUCGAAUCUUUGAACGCACAUUGCGCCUCCUGGUAUUCCGGGAGGCAUGCCUGUUCGAGCGUCA